GGAAAGUGUUGCACGUGGUGAGAAGAUGAAUUGAGUGAGGUCAAAGCCAGUUCGAAGCGACGACUUUGGGUGCGAUGAUGAAGCAGUGCGUGGCAGCGUUUGUAGCGGAUGAGCGACUUGCUGCUAAAGUUCUGUUUUCUUGCCUCAAUAAGACAGAAGCAGCGAAGGACCGUAUUGAAUUAGCAAGAAAUCUUCUUGAUGUUCUAGUUAACAAAGAGGAGCAGGCUUCCUGCACUGCAAGCGGCAAGGUCUCCGGGGAGGAUGCACUGGACAUGCAGUCGCAAAUUGAAUGCGCUCAAACGUAUGGUUAUAUGUGUUUGCACCAGGACCUCUAAGUUACUCUUUUAACUUCGUUUUGUUUUUUGCUUGAUGAGAUUUCCUCCAACGGCAGAAGAAAAUGCUAAGACUGUAUUGUCAAGAUUAAUUAACAAAGUCCUAGGUGACAAACGUCGAUUCCAAGCGAGGAAAUGACUGUUAUACUAGUCAUAGAUCUGCAAGUGAGCUAGAGAUAGAGGUAUUUUGCAAUACGGAUGCUUUGAUUGAACUAA